UUCCGUAGCCAUAGCAAGAGGGAAACGCCCGGUCCCAUUCCGAACCCGGAAGCUAAGCCUCUUUGCGCCGAUGGUACUGCACUGGAGAUGGUGUGGGAGAGUAGGUCGCUGCGGGAC
rnacentral:rRNA from 1 species